rnacentral:ncRNA from 2 species
AUACAGCAAAUUAUAUUUGCUCAUAUAUUCCCGGUAAUAUGGUCCGGGAGUCUCUACAGGAAAUCCGUAAAAUUCCUACUAUGAGCGGAACUUCUAUAUGC